UUGACAAUCUUAUCGUGAAGGCAUACUUUCAGGAGUGAGGGUAGAGCGGGGUUUCCCCCGCCCUGGUAGUCUUAGUAAGCGGGGAAGCUUAUGACUAAGAGCACCACGAUGAUGAGUAGCUUCAUCAUGACCCUUUCCUUAUU
rfam:Escherichia coli str. K-12 substr. MG1655, complete genome.